UCCUUGUGGAGCUACCAUGCUGGAUAAUGAGAGCUAGAAGAAAGCGUGGCCCCGAAACUAGACUGAAAAAUCUAAAUAUAAAAGGAAAACGACGAGGGCAAAUGAGAGCCUGACCAUCUCUCCUCCACCUCCCCUUCCCCCUCCAUCUCUCUUGCGUUCGUCCGGCGAUCUGCUCAGCAUACUCGACGGCUCGGAGGGCAUCACGGGCCAAGAUCCAGCUAUCCAAUGCCUCGAUUACAUUCACAUAAUAUGGCUGAGGGAUCAGAUUCAUCGUUGGACCCGAAUUUGGUAGAGCUCCGGCGGUCGUUGAGAUCGUUGAUCUCGUUAGAGCACCUAGAGUUACCAGAGAUCCGGCCGCUCCCGGCUUUUCUCCACCGUAUUGAAGACUUGGUUGACGAUGGGGGUAGCGAUGACGGCGUAAGUCCUGACAGAGAGGAGGACAAUCAGGUCUCUUCAGAAAACAAGGAAGGCAGGCUUGACAAUGAUAGUGGGAGCAAUGAAGAGCGUAGGGCUGGUGAAACCACCGGGCCAAGUACAGUAAUCUCUCAUGGGACCGAUGGCCUUGAGAGAUGUGUUCAAUCUGUCAUAGUGCAAUGGCUGGGGUAAUUUAAAAUUUUUAGGUUUUGACCUGCACAGAAGGGAUAUCUUGCUCGUUGGGGCACUCCUAAAUUAUGGAGCUUGCUUACUUAUAUAGAGAUCGGAUAUCGGGAGGAUGCACGAUACGGCAAAUUAAUAGGCUCUCUUGAGUCAUUGGGAGCAUCAACAUGUCAAUUUGGACAGCCUGGAAACAAUCUUUGGGAACUUUAAUAGUAAAGAUGUCUUGAUGAAUGAUCCAUCAUUCACCGCUCUACUGACCCAACAAAUGAACAAUGUGCGCUCCGAUCUUUCGCGUAUGCUGAAGACGAAUCCUGAAUUGCGGUGGGAGUUCUAUCAUCUAUAAUUUGCAUCAUUGGCAUCUUCAUUCUGCUGUCUGAUAUGUUGUGUAACCAUUGUUAGUUGACUAAUUUUCAUUUUCCUGCAUCACUCAAAUCUCAUGAGUAUUAGAGGUGGCCCGAAAGCCAUUGGACUUGUCUCGAAUAUCUGUGCUGCUGGUCAGAAUCUACUUAAUGAACAAAAGAUGUAUAUAUCUUUUGGCAAUUAACAAUAGAAGUUGCUGGUGAGACUCUACUCAAUGAACAAAAGAUAUGUAUAUCUUUUGACAAUUGGCAAUAGAAGCUGCAGGUGAGACUCUACUUAAUGUGUAUAUCUUUUUGCAAUCGACAAUAGAAGCUGCUGACGAUACUCUACUUAAUGAACAAAAGAUAUGCAUAUCUUUUGGCAAUUGACAAUAGAAGCUGCAGGUGAGACUCUACUUAAUGUGUAUGUCUUUUCACAGUCGACAAUAGAAGUUGCUGGUGAGACUCUACUUAAUGAACAAAAUGUAUGUAUAUCUUUUGGCAAUUGACAAUAGAAGCUGCAGGCGAGACUCUACUUAGUGUGUAUAUCUUUUCGCAAUAUUUGCGAUGCUUAUCGAUUCGGAAAGUUGGUCCUUCUCAGCAUUAUUCGCUUAAUUGAUUUCUCUGAGCAUUUUGGAGGGUCAAUUAUAGCUUGCUUUUAAUUACCGGCAGCUCAGAGGAAUUGAAUGAGUAUUACAGUCCCAUUUGUUGGAGUUCAACGAAGAGACUGGAAUUUUUGUGUCGCCUUAGCGACAGACUAUUAUUGAAAGCUAAGGCGCCCAAUCAACAAGAUGAAUUGAAAGGGUUGCUUUCAGAAGAAUUGGAGAGCAAAAAGCCACUGGUUUUUGAUGGGGAGUGGAUCGACAAAAUAGAUCCUAAAUUUAGGCCUCACAGGCAGUAUGAUUAUGAAUCCGUCGGGGGGUUAUUGCGCUUCGUGCGAAAUCAGUGGCGCCACCUCCCGGACGGAUUUGAGGUUACACUUUCUAUGGAAUCGUAAUGAUUUCUGUAGCGGAAUGCAUGCGAGGCUUCUUUAGGAACUUUGUGUAUCUCGAAUCGUAUGAACUCAUGACUCAGCUUUUCUUGUUCCCAUAGGAAUUCUUGGGAUUGGGCAGCGGGGAACACUUCUACGGUUACUUCGAUGCACGAUUCCCGAAUCUCUUUAUGCUGUCGUACGGAGCGGCGUCCCAGGUCUGCAGAGAAGAGAGAUGGUUUGAGGAGUUCCGUUGAAGGGACAACCUUUUCCAGGAGUACUUUGGAAGAGAACGCUUCUACAAUUCCUUAUUCAAUCCAGUCGGUUGUGCAUUCCCGUGUUUUUUGUUAAGACCUAUUCGACUCUCUGUUUGAGUGUGUAAAUGUAUUGUUUUAGACGUAUAACAUGGUUGCAAUACUGAAUUGUUUUAAAUGUAUAGUAUGUUGUUCUUGAUGUUGCAUCAAAAUAGAAUUAUUACACUUCAAUUCA